UAUAAAAAUAGGCAAAACUAUUGAAAGAUAGUGACGCAAAGCUAUAGGGCCUCUUUAACGUGGCAGCCAGUUGCACAA
rfam:Coprobacillus sp. 29_1 genomic scaffold supercont1.3, whole genome shotgun sequence.